rnacentral:rRNA from 1 species
CAGUCGCCGCGGUAAUACGAAGGGUGCAAGCGUUACUCGGAAUUACUGGGCGUAAAGCGUGUGUAGGUGGUUGUUUAAGUCUGUCGUGAAAGCCCUGGGCUCAACCUGGGAAUUGCGAUGGAUACUGGGCGACUAGAGUGCGGUAGAGGAUAGUGGAAUUUCCGGUGUAGCAGUGAAAUGCGUAGAGAUCGGAAGGAACAUCUGUGGCGAAGGCGACUAUCUGGGCCAACACUGACACUGAGACACGAAAGCGUGGGGAGCAAACAGGAUUAGAUACCCCUGUAGUCCCUGUCUCUUAUAC